rnacentral:rRNA from 1 species
AGCGAACGCUGGCGGCAGGCCUAACACAUGCAAGUCGAACGAAGCCUUCGGGCUUAGUGGCGGACGGGUGAGUAACGCGUGGGAACGUACCUUUUGGUUCGGAAUAACGCAGAGAAAUUUGCGCUAAUACCGAAUGAGCCCUUCGGGGGAAAGAUUUAUCGCCGAAAGAUCGGCCCGCGUUGGAUUAGGUAGUUGGUGUGGUAAAGGCGCACCAAGCCUACGAUCCAUAGCUGGUCUGAGAGGAUGAUCAGCCACACUGGGACUGAGACACGGCCCAGACUCCUACGGGAGGCAGCAGUGGGGAAUCUUGCGCAAUGGGCGAAAGCCUGACGCGGCCAUGCCGCGUGAAUGAUGAAGGUCUUAGGAUUGUAAAAUUCUUUUACCAGGGACGAUAAUGACGGUACCUGGAGAAAAAGCCCCGGCUAACUUCGUGCCAGCCGCCGCAGUAAAAC